CUCAUUGAUAAGACACUUCGCGGUUCACACCAUGCCCUGGAUUUUGGGAGGGCAUCGAGAAGUCGAAGUCGCAGUCGCAGCGAUCCUUCCUUCUUGACGAUGAGGGGAUUUUAUGCCGGUUCAGAUGAUGGUGGUGAUGAAACGGCGUGCGAGGCCAGAGAUACAUAGGGUCCUCCAUGCCGGGUGCCGAUGCACAUCUGGGAAGCGGCUUGCCUGCAGUUAACAAGAGCACAGAUGCGUGGCGUGGCGUGGCAGGAGGAUUUUGGUGUCCGUGGAACGCCAGUGCUCCUUUGUGGGAAGGGGGAAGAUGGGGAAACAGACCACCUUGGGUUUUUCCGCCGAGUCCAAGCUGCAGGAAGCGCUGAAUGCUGCCGUUGUUGGCCAUCAGGGUUGUGUCAAUGCCAUUGCAUGGAACGCCAAAGGCUCACUUUUAAUUUCUGGUUCAGAUGACACUAGAUUGAGGGAGAUACUUCUCAGGAUAUGAUGGAAGGUAAGCAAACGGAGUAGACGAGGAGGCGGGAUGGACGUAUGACAUAUUGUUUAGAUAUUUUAGGAGUGUUGUAAAGACAUUUGUUUCCUUAUGAGUCUUUUCUUUAUUUGUAUGAGUUGUAUUAGUGUUUUCUUUGUUCUUUGUUUUUGUUACUACUCUUUUGGUUGUGAUGUUAUUAUUCAUGUUGGGUAUGGUCGUCCAUAUUGAUGGGAUUUUUAUUAUGGUUCCAGGUUUAUUCAAAUUUGUUCAAAAGGUCUUUUGGGAGUUCUCGGUUGAG